GAUGAAGACGCAGCGAAAUGCGAUAAGUAAUGUGAAUUGCAGAAUUCAGUGAAUCAUCGAAUCUUUGAACGCACAUUGCGCCCGCCAGUAUUCUGGCGGGCAUGCCUGUUCGAGCGUCAUUACAACCCUCAGGCCCCCGGGCCUGGCGUUGGGGAUCGGCGGAGCCCCCCGUGGGCACACGCCGUCCCCCAAAUGCAGUGGCGGUCCCGCCGCAGCUUCCAUCGCGUAGUAGCUAACACCUCGCGACUGGAGAGCGGCGCGGCCACGCCGUAAAACACCCAACUCUUCUGAAGUUGACCUCGAAUCAGGUAGGAAUACCCGCUGAACUUAAGCAUAUCAAUAAGCGGAGGA
rnacentral:misc_RNA from 1 species